rnacentral:misc_RNA from 1 species
GAUGAAGAACGCAGCGAAAUGCGAUAAGUAAUGUGAAUUGCAGAAUUCAGUGAAUCAUCGAAUCUUUGAACGCACCUUGCGCCCUUUGGCUAUUCCGAAGGGCAUGCCUGUUUGAGUAUCAUGAACACCUCAACCCUCAUGGUUUGCCAUGACGGGCUUGGACUUUGGGGGCCUUGCUGGAUUGUAGUCAGCUCCCCUUAAACAAAUCAGCUUGCCAGUGUUUGGUGGCAUCACAGGUGUGAUAACUAUCUACGCUUGUGGUUUUACAUCAGAUAACCUUCAGUGAUGGAGGUUCACUGGAGCUCAUAAAGGUGUCUCUCCUCUGUGAGGACAGCUCUUUGAAUGUUUGAUCUCAAAUCAGGCAGGACUACCCGCUGAACUUAAGCAUAUCAAUAAGCGGAGGA